GUUCAUUUUAAGUUUUAUUAAAAAUUCAUUUACUUUCCGCAAUUACUUUUUGGGCAACCCAAUAUGUCAACACUAAUUAUGAGACACAAUUUACGAUGAGAGGCAAAUGACGGUUGCUCGAUUAUUGACUAACACCGGCUUUGAACCAAUUUCGUACCAUUUUGAUGAAGAGAUACAGAGCAACUUAAUCAUAAUGAUCCAAGAGAAAUGAACAACUUUUGCGUUCCUGUUGCUUUAAUAGGCGAAAUUCAAUGUAAAGAGAUGAAUAGACGCGAGUCAUAAACCAGGAUAUUUCAAAAAAUUCUCUUCCCUGAUGUUCUGAUGUUCUGUUGACACAAUAAGUAAAUCAACAUACCAUUUUCCCAUAUUGCCUUUGUAAAAUUGAAAUUCCAAUACGAUUAGGGGUGGACGUGCUUCAAAUGUAAUUUCUCUUCCUGGUUCCUCAAAGGUUCGAAAGGACCAUGUACAAAUCCGGUGCAAAUCUUCAAGGAGUGGACUGUAGAAUUAGCAAAAAGCUCCCAAAAUUUGAACGCUAAAUCCCAGAAAGUAAGACAAAAAAGAAAAGGCCAAGAUUUAGGUUUAUGUUGAAUAGGUUUAUUGGGUUUCUGCUGCUUGCCGCCUCCGACGCUAUUGCAAAAGUGCUGUACAAGAGACGAACUAAACAAUGUUUUUCUAUUCAGCUAUUCAUUGUGUGCGUCAUGACAGGUCACUGUCUAAUCGGAAAACAUGCAGUCAGAAGGAGCUAAACUUCAGGUUCUCAUUUUUUUGAGAAUCUGACUGAUGUAGCGGAUGUGAACAUUCGCAAGUUAUUGGGCUUUUUAAAGCAUGGUUCAAUGGUAGGAACUUCAUCUGUUCCUGUGUUAUCACAAUGGACGAAAGCUUCAAAGUGAGUCUGAUGGCAGACUGCCACUUGAACCUAACCUAACCUAAGUCUGAAAUAGUUUACUUAUUAACAAAUAUGUUGGGUGAAAAUAAAUAAUAAUAGUGUAUUUUAGAAACGAAUUAUAUUAGCAAUGUAAUGAAUUAAUGAUAUUUUAAAAAUAAAAAAUUAUA